UCCACUAAGGGACUUCACUGGGGAAUGUCCAAAUAGGACUCAUCUGAGGAAACAACAGGAUGAGGUAUUACCGGUUACUGGGUAAUAAGCUCAAGGAGACAUGUGAUCGAAACACCGGUAUGAGGGUGAGAGAAUAACACGCUCAGGGAGAAUGAAUACCUAAGACCGGUAUAAGGGUGAGAGAUAUCAAACAUCCAAAAUCGUUCAAGGAAAACCUAAAAAGGUAUAUUUCA
rnacentral:lncRNA from 1 species